rnacentral:rRNA from 1 species
CCUACGGGUGGCAGCAGUAGGGAAUCUUCGGCAAUGGGCGAAAGCCUGACCGAGCAACGCCGCGUGAAUGAAGAAGGCCUUCGGAUUGUAAACUUCUAUCAAUAGGGAAGAAAGAAAUGACGGUACCUAAAUAAGAAGCCCCGGCUAACUACGUGCCAGCAGCCGCGGUAAUACGUAGGGGGCAAGCGUUAUCCGGAAUUACUGGGUGUAAAGGGAGAGUAGGCGGCAAGGUAAGCGAUAUGUGAAAGCCUUAAGCUUAACUAAAGGAUUGCAUAACGAACUAUCUAGCUAGAGUACAGGAGAGGAAAGCGGAAUUCCUAGUGUAGCGGUGAAAUGCGUAGAUAUUAGGAAGAACACCAGUGGCGAAGGCGGCUUUCUGGACUGAAACUGACGCUGAGGCUCGAAAGCGUGGGGAGCGAACAGGAUUAGAUACCCCUGUAGUC